rfam:Oryza sativa (indica cultivar-group) chromosome 8, whole genome shotgun sequence.
AAUAAUCGUCAUUUUGAGUUUUUGUUUGUAAAGUUUGACCAUUCAUCUUAUUUAAAAAAAUUACGGAAUUAUUUUUUUUGUUUGUGACUUGCUUUAUUAUCAAAAGUACUUUAAGUAUGACUUAUCUUUUUUAUAUUUACACUAAUUUUUUAAAUAAGACGAAUGAUCAAACGUUGCAAACAAAAAGUUAAAUCAACAUCUAAU